AGGGAGCUUGCUCCCAAAGAUUAGCGGCGGACGGGUGAGUAACACGUGGGCAACCUGCCUGUAAGACUGGGAUAACUCCGGGAAACCGGGGCUAAUACCGGAUAAUUCUUUUCCUCUCAUGAGGAAAUGCUGAAAGACGGUUUCGGCUGGCACUUACAGAUGGGCCCCCGGGGCAUUAACUAAUUGGUGGGGAAACGGCUCCCCAAGGGAACGAUGCGUAGCCGACCUGAAAAGGGGGUCGGCCACCCUGGGACUGAAAAACCGCCCACACUCCUACGGGAGGAAGCAGUAGGGAAUCUUCCGCCAUGGACGAAAGUCUGACGGAGCAACGCCGCCUGAGCGAUGAAGGCCUUCGGGUCGUAAAGCUCUUCUGUUAGGGAAGAACAAGUAUCGGAGUAACUGCCGGUACCUUGACGGUACCUAACCAGAAAACCACCGCUAACUACGUGGCAGCAGCCGCGGUAAUACGUAGGUGGCAAGCGGUGUCCGGAAUUAUUAUUGCGUAGAGCGCGCGCAGGUGGUUCCUUCAUGUCUGAUGAUGAAAGCCCCCGCUCAUCCGUCGAGGGUCAUCGGAAACUGGUGAACUUGAGUGCAGCAGAGGAAAGUGGAAUUCUACGUCGUAGCAGCGAAAUGCGUAGAGAUGUGGAGGGAGCACACUGGCGAGGCGACUUUCUGGUCUGUAACUGACACUGAUGCGCGAAAACGUGUGAGCGAACAGGAG
rnacentral:rRNA from 1 species